rnacentral:siRNA from 1 species
GGUUGACGUGUCAUGUGACAG